ACAGGUGGACAGGUAGAGCAUACCAAGGCGAGUGGGAUAACUAUGGUUAAGGAACUCGGCAAAUUUCCUCCGUAACUUCGGGAUAAGGAGGACCCCAGUAGCGUGACGAGACUUGCUCUCCGAGCGUGAAGGGGUGGCACAAAAUUGAGGGAAGCGACUGUUUACCAAAAACACAGCAGCGUGCUAAGCCGUAAGGCGCUGUAUACGCUGUGACUCCUGCCCGGUGCUGGAAGGUUACGGGGAUGGGUUAGUCCUUUGGGACGAAGCUCUGAACCUAAGCCCCAGUAAACGGCGGCCGUAACUAUAACGGUCCUAAGGUAGCGAAAUUCCUUGUCGGGUAAGUUCCGACCUGCACGAAUGGAGUAACGACUUCCCUACUGUCUCAACCAUAGACCCAGCGAAAUUGAAGUACGAGUAGAGAUGCUCGUUAGCUGCAGAAGGACGGAAAGACCCCGUGGACCUUUACUAUAACUUGAUGUUGUGUUUUGUCAUAUGUUGUGUAGGAUAGGUGGGAGACAAGGAAGCAUGGACGCUAGUCUGUGUGGAGUCAUCGUUGAAAUACCACCCUGCAUAUGGUGAGGCUCUAACCUAGACCCGUUAUCCGGGUUGGGGACAGCGUCAGGCGGGUAGUUUAACUGGGGCGGUUGCCUCCUAAAGAGUAACGGAGGCGCCCAAAGGUUCCCUCAGCCUGGUUGGCAAUCAGGCGUCGAGUGCAAUGGCAAAAGGGAGCUUGACUGCGAGACCUACAAGUCGAGCAGGAGCGAAAGCUGGGCAUAGUGAUCCGGCGGUUGCGUGUGGAAGCGCCGUCGCUCAACGGAUAAAAGGUACCCCGGGGAUAACAGGCUAAUCUUGCCCAAGCGUCCAUAGCGACGGCAAGGUUUGGCACCUCGAUGUCGGCUCAUCGCAUCCUGGGGCUGAAGCAGGUCCCAAGGGUUGGGCUGUUCGCCCAUUAAAGCGGUACGCGAGCUGGGUUCAGAACGUCGUGAGACAGUUCGGUCCCUAUCCUCUGUAGCCGUAGGUGAAUUGAGGAAAGCUGUCCCUAGUACGAGAGGACCGGGACGGACGCAGCUCUCGUGUGCCAGUUGUCCUGCCAAGGGCAUGGCUGGUUAGCGACCUGCGGAAAGGAUAACCGCUGAAAGCAUCUAAGCGGGAAGCCUCUUCCAAGAUGAAUUCACCCACAGGGUUAACCUGGUAAGGCCCGUGGUAGACCACCACGUUGAUAGGCCGGAAGUGUAAGCGUGGCAACACGUUCAGCUGACCGGUACUAAUCGGCCGAGGGCUUGAAUUG
rnacentral:rRNA from 1 species